rnacentral:tRNA from 1 species
GGGGGCAUAGCUCAGUUGGUUAGAGCGCACGCUUCACAUGCGUGAGGUCACAGGUUCGAGCCCUGUUGUCCCCACCA